CAAAAAACAUUGAAAUUAGAGACUAACAUUAUACAAUUUGUUUCUUUUCAGGUACUCCCGCCAGAAGGACGGAAGCAUCGAGUCGCUGAGGAGCAUUAGUUGUCAUUACAGCUGUCAUUGCGUAUUUAUAGAGCUGCUGUUCGUCUUGUUGUGGCAGAGAAGUCGUCAGUGCGGAUUGUAGCUCGGUCUGUCACCGAGAGAAGCCAGGUGCGCCGCGUCUUGUGGCCAUAGCGUCAGGAUUGGCAGCUUGGGGCCGCCGGUUCGAGAUUUGUUGCAGAGGGCCGCCGCAACGGAAUAGCCAUGGAAGUGAAUGCAAAAAUAGUAUUUGGUACGUUGAGUGGAAUUUAAUUUAAGGUACUUGAGGAGCAAG